rnacentral:misc_RNA from 1 species
UAAAAUCCCUUGGAUAAGCUUUGAAGCAAGAAAAGGGGUUUAAGGAAAAAGAGCUUAAAAGCUUUUCCAUAAGAUAAGACCGGGGAAGGUUUUUCGGUUUAUCCCGGAGGGCUUGUAGCUCAGUUGGUUAGAGCGCGCGCUUGAUAAGCGUGAGGUCGGAGGUUCAAGUCCUCCCAGGCCCACCAUUUUGUAUAAAUCUAUAAUGCGUUUGUAGAACUUUCUUCUAUAAGGAAAGCUUAUACACUUAUAUAAAGCUUAUCUACGAAGAAGUUUCCUUAUCGGCAAUGUGAAGUUUCCUUCCUUUUCUUAAGCAAUCCGGAAUAAAAGUGGUUCAAAUGAAACAGUGAUCCCAUAAAAGGUGAUUCUGAAUUGAAAAUUGAAAUUUAAAAAAAAUUGAACCUUUUCUCUUUUUUAGGGGCCGUAAAUCU